rnacentral:rRNA from 1 species
ACAGGGAUUGCCCUAGUAACGGCGAGUGAAGCGGCAACAGCUCAAAUUUGAAAUCUGGCUCUUUUAGAGUCCGAGUUGUAAUUUGCAGAGGGCGCUUUGGCGUUGGCAGCGGUCCAAGUUCCUUGGAACAGGACGUCACAGAGGGUGAGAAUCCCGUACGUGGUCGCUGGCCUUCGCCGUGUAAAGCCUCUUCGACGAGUCGAGUUGUUUGGGAAUGCAGCUCUAAAUGGGAGGUAAAUUUCUUCUAAAGCUAAAUACUGGCCAGAGACCGAUAGCGCACAAGUAGAGUGAUCGAAAGAUGAAAAGCACUUUGGAAAGAGAGUCAAAUAGCACGUGAAAUUGUUAAAAGGGAAGCGCUUGCAGCCAGACUUGCCCGUAGUUGCUCAUCCAGGCUUUUGCCUGGUGCACUCUUCUAUGGGCAGGCCAGCAUCAGUUUGGGCGGUUGGAUAAAGGUCUCUGUCACGUACCUCCUUUCGGGGAGGCCUUAUAGGGGAGACGACAUGCAACCAGCCUGGACUGAGGUCCGCGCAUUCGCUAGGAUGCUGGCGUAAUGGCUGUAAGCGGCCCGUCUUGAAACACGGACCAAGGAGUCUAACAUCUAUGCGAGUGUUUGGGUGUCAAGCCCGAACGCGCAAUGAAAGUGAACGGAGGUGGGAACCCUUAAGGGUGCACCAUCGACCGAUCCUGAUGUCUUCGGAAGGAUUUGAGUAAGAGCAUAGCUGUUGGGACCCGAAAGAUGGUGAACUAUGCUUGAAUAGGGUGAAGCCAGAGGAAACUCUGGUGGAGGCUCGCAGCGGUUCUGACGUGCAAAUCGAUCGUCAAAUUUGGGCAUAGGGGCGAAAGACUAAUCGACUAUCUAGUAGUGUUGUU